CAAAAUAACUCCCGGUUUUCUGGAAAUCUUAAAUUAGUGUACUAUGUAGCGCAUUAAUCCUGAAUUUUUAAUGCAAACUCAUAGACAAGUGAAUUUUGGCUCAAAAUGGUCUAAAUAUAUUUCCUUUUCACCAAAAGUUUCAUUUCUGCAAAUUUUUUGGUUAGUUUAAGUAAACAAUGACAUCAAAAGCAAUAUAUUGUGUCAAAGUAGGACUACUUUUACAUACGUUCUAAAUUGGAGGGAGUAAUUGGUGGUCUGACACCUAAAGAGCCAAAAAAGUUGCUCAGAAAUCUUUGCUUUGCUUUAUUCUUAAUCCUUAGUCAAUUUGAAGUCAGAAACAUCCUAUCUGAGCAUAAUGUGACUUAUAUUACAAAUUUCACAGCUCAAUUUAAACUGACUGUAAUGUAUGACUUUGAUUGAAAAUACUUGAAAAUUUCAUUUUGAACUACAGGAACAUAAACUUUCAAUAUCAAGAUCAGUUUUGUUGAUUUUUUUCUUGUUUGUUUUACUUCUUAAAAGACUUUCCACAAAUUUACAAUGGGUUAAGUAAAAAAUUCAAGGUAUUGAAGAGUCAAGAAAUAUUGACCCCCCCUUUUUUACACCUGGUGUAAGUAAUGGGACUAUUAAAUUAUCAAAAGUGAAGUCAUGGUCAUUUAACUGUUUUCAUUUUCUAUCAGUUGAUACAGCUUAAUGCAUAAAACUUUCAUUUGAGAUAAUAAAUGGGAUUUUUGUGAGUUUUUGCAAUGUUUACAUCAGGCUAUGUUAUCUGCCAAAUACAUGCUAUGACGCAAUGAUAUAAGGGAUAAAAAUCAAAUAAUUUCAUUAAAUCUUGAUGACAAGAACUUUUUUUGGUGGUAAAAUAACCAUGUUUUAAUGUUAAUACCACAGAAACAACUUGCUGUGCAUUUAUAACAAUUUGGGACAUUUUUUUAUGUGAAAGCAUAUCGUCAGGGUGGGAAAAGCUAAAAAUAGCACAAAUUCAGGUCUAAGGCUCUAAAUUUGCAAUAUGUGACUUUUUGCCCCCCAAAAAGAUUGAAAUGUGACUACUAUCACUUCAUAUGAUCAGUUAAGUAAAAAAAAUCGAUUGUUUUCUGAAUUUGGGGUUUCAC
rnacentral:lncRNA from 1 species